CUGGUUCCGGUUCACGUGCGCCCAUCCGGGGCGGCACGACCCGGCGACC
rnacentral:ncRNA from 1 species